GGGUACAUGGUCUAGUGGUAUGAUUUUCGCUUUGCAUAGUCUUCCUCAAGAAGGUUAAUCUCUGUGAAAGGUCCGGGGUUCAAUCCCCCGUGUAUCCA